AUUCUUUAGGGACUUUGGCUACGGACAUUUUAUCCCUGGAAAAAAAAUUUCUAUUGGAUAUCGAAAGGUGGCUCUCCAUGAAAGUUAAGACUGUCACACAUAAUACUAUAUUAUACAUCGAACAAACCGGGUAUGCAUUGAUGUGUUAUGUGAUUACAUCGUCACAUUAUAUUGGCGCAGGUAAUAAUCGCUAUAAUUAUUUCUCCGUAUAUUCUUGUUAUGGAACAAGAACCUAUGAAAAGACAAAUCUGAAAAUUCGAUGAAAAUAUAUGUUUGACCGUGUACAAUUGGGACUUAGUUGAUAGAGAUAAUUUUCUCAAGGGUUCUUUAAUAGUAAUUAUAACGAUAACAUACAAAACAUUUAAAUCCUAUGUACUGCUCCUUCGCAAUUCUAUUUACACAUUUAAUAUUCUUCUAAGCCUGUCACAUUUUUGUGUCUUGGAAAAAUCGUAAUAUAAUGAGAACGAAUUAUCUAUACUAUUAUAUCUACAAGAAAAGGAAAAGCAAAGUAAGAGAAAAAACCGAACAUCCACAUAUUGUACGAAAA